AAUGCAUCAUUAGACGUGUCUCAUUUCCCAGCUUCCUCUGCACUUCCGGCUUUCCACCGCAGCAGAAGUGAACGAAAACAAGAUGCGAUAGUUUAGCUUGGCCGAUGAGCUGUGAUCAAUGACAGCGUUAUUGACGCUUCUCGGCAUAUUCCACUGACCGCUUAUUAUUUCAAUGUCAAAUCUGUGCACCUGAGGCGCGUGGCAGUAAUAUAACAUUCACCAUGCAGUUCUCUCCCACCAACGUAGAUUUCACGUUCGUCUCUUCGACUGAGGCUGAAGAGCUCAGCGGCACCAUCAGUGCCCCGGAUAUUAAGCUGAACAUGGGCGGUGAGGGCGGUAAAGAUCCAUAUGCCACCACCUUCCUGAGGCAGCGAGGCUACGGCUGGCUGCUGGAGGUGGACGAGGAUGACACUGAAGAGAGCAAGCCUCUUCUGGAGGAGCUGGACAUCGACCUGAAGGACAUCUAUUACAAGAUUCGCUGUGUGCUGAUGCCCAUGCCGUCCCUGGGUUAUAACCGGCAGGUGGUCCGAGACAACCCGGACUUCUGGGGCCCUCUAGCCGUGGUGCUGCUCUUCUCCAUGAUCUCCAUCUAUGGACAGUUCAGGGUUGUAUCUUGGAUCAUCACCAUCUGGAUCUUUGGAUCAACAACCAUCUUCCUGCUGGCUCGUGUUCUUGGUGGCGAGGUUUCCUUCGGCCAGGUUCUUGGAGUGAUCGGAUAUUCUCUUCUUCCUCUCAUCGUUAUAGCCCCUCUGCUCCUAGUGAUCGGAGGCUUUGAGGUGGUUUCUACAUUAAUCAAACUGUUUGGAGUCUUCUGGGCUGCUUACAGUGCUGCUUCGCUGCUCGUCGGAGAUGAAUUCAAAACCAAGAAGCCCCUUCUCAUAUAUCCCAUUUUCCUUUUGUAUAUCUACUUCCUGUCGUUGUAUACUGGUGUGUGAUUGGAGGAGUGGGAACUCUGGACCUUUUCAUGGACAUUGACCCUGGGGCAUGGGGGGGGGGAAGUCAAACUAUUGAAACAUAUUUUUUAAAGGUGUUUAUUUCUUUUUUAACUAUUAAAUUGUAGAUGGUGCGGAUUUUGGGAAUAUAUAUCAAUGUAUAUAGUUGUGUCCCUUUAUGUCUUUGGUCAAUAAAUGCAUAUGCUUUUAAAGCUUACACAGCAGGAAAUAUUCACAGGGUUGUAUAUUAAUUUAAUGAUUUAGUUUUUACCCUUCAUCCCACUGAAGAUUGUGGUGCCAAAUAUUUGUGGUGUAUAAGUUGAUGCUGAAGGAAGAGACAGCACCACAAAGAGAUUGUUGAGCAUAAUGUUCUUUAGUUAUGCACUGUAAUGUAUGAUGACAAGUGUCCAUUUCUGCUUUUCAUUUUUCAGACCUGAUUUUUUUUUUUUUUUAUUGAUGUAUUUCAGCAGCAGUUAGCGUGAUCUAAAGCAUUGUCUACUAAAUAAGGUGCCUUGUCCUGUUUCAGCCAUUCAAUACAGGAAUAUAAUCAUUUGAUUAAUAAUUACAGUACGUAAGUAUCA